CCGCUGCCUGGGGGUGGGCAGAGACAAGGACUGGGUUCCCGGGGCCCUAACAUGGCUCUGCUUGCCAUGACCUGGACCUCUAUCUCCAGGAUGUCUCUUUUUAUAGAUCUUGCUUAUUAGUUACUUUGUGUAUGUGUGUAUGUUUGUGUACACAUGUGUGCAUGUGGGUAUACGUGAAUGUGUGCAUGUGUGUGGAGGCCAGAAGUCAAUGCUGGGUGUCUUCCUCUCCUGUUCUCCACUUUGUUGUUGUUGUUCGGGUUUUGUUUGUUUUUUGGGGGGUUUUUCUGUAUUUUUUUUUUUUUUUUUUAGAGACAAGGUUUCACUGUGUAGCCUGGUUGUCCUGGAACUCACUCUGUAGCCCAGGCUGGCCUCGAACUCACAGAGAUCCACCUGUCUCUGCCUCCUGAGUGCUGGGAUUCAAGGCAUACACCACCACUGCUGGACUUGCACUUUAUUUUUGAAGGUGGUGUCUGCCAUUGAAUCUGGCGCUCACUGAUUGGCUAGGCUGACUGGCCAGCGAGGCACAGGGGUCCUCCCGACUUUUGCAGGCACAGGCAUGCACUGGUACACCUAGUGUUUGACUUGAGUGUUGGGGUCCAAACUCAGGCCCUCAUGCUGGCAUGGACGGCACUCUACAGACUUCGUCGUCUCUUCGAGUCCCUAACAUUUUUAUUUUGAGAUGAGGUCCCACUGAGUUGUCCAGACUGCUUUUGAACUUGUGAUCCUUCUGCCUCGGCCUCCCAAGGAGCUGAGGUUACCAGCGUACACCAUUAGACUGGGUGAGUCUGCCUGUUGUCCAAUACCCAAAAUGUCCCUGUCUGUGCCGUCGAGGCAUCAGCAAUGGCUUAUCUCUUAAUCAUCCGUCCUGCCAUACACUUAUUUGUAUACUCAUCUUCUUGCCCAUUUAUCUACACAAGCCAAAACGUGGACCCACUCAACCACCUGCCUAUCCAUCAUGUGCCCAGUCACUCACUCAUCUGUCUGGCGACUGCACCCUUCCACACUUACCUACCCUCCACCUACCUGUUCUUCCCUGGAUCCGCCCACUCAGUCUAACAAUCACCCACCCAUUGGAUCUUAUCAAUCCAUUCGCCGAAAACACUGGGAAGAGGGAAAGCAAGCUGCUCCAAGGAUGUUGACACGAACAAGAAAGAGGUGUCACCCUCGGACCCAGACAACCACAACACAUCGUAAGUGUCAGCAGCACGAUGCUGAGAGCCCUUGUUAGAGGAAAGAGCCUGACUUCACCCAGAGGGGAAGGAGGAGUGAGGAUCAGAGCUUAAGUUCAAUGGAGAGUGAAAAGCCAAAAUUACACGAAAAGAUACUCUCAGUGGAGGGGACCACUAGGGACUCUACCCCUAAAGAAGUAUGGCAGAGGCUCCAGUGGUGGCUCAGGUCCUGGAACAUGUAGGAUAAACAGGAGAGUGACGCAGCAGGUGACAGUAUCAGGACUGAAACUGGCUCCCUUAAAUCCUGCUCAUCCGAGCCUGGCAUCAAGAUCUAACCGAAAGCAAUAGGGUAGGCAGAGGCCUGCAGUAAGCAAGCUUAGGAAAGAAUGUGGACAAAACAAGGUUGUGCCAUAGGGAGCAAUAUCUGUGACAUGAGGAGGGCUGGCACUAGCCUGAUCAUACAGGAUCCUGAAUCUAGGCUGCCGAUCUUGAAUUCUCUCAUGGUGAGCAGAGACCAGGGGAUGUCAGCUCUCAGGUAUGCCCUGUAUAGUGAUCUGGAGCCAGACUGGUUGUGGGGCAGAGGCACAGGGCUUGGCUUUCAUAAAGAACCUCAAGAGAACUAGGCCUAAGAACCAAGAAACAGCAGCCUGUUGCCAAGGACCCUCGUCUUCAGCAGGAAUCUUGAGUUGGCCUGGCCAGGGAUGGAGAGGGAUGAAGUUUGACCAUGUGGUCUCCAGACUUUGCCUCAACAAUUCCCCACAGUCCCCCUUGAACCUUCCACGUGGCUGAAACCUGUCAGUCUAAUGAACCAGCAAAGAUUCCGGCAGCGUGGAUCUGAAUGGCAGUACUAGAGUAUGACUUCUCCUUGGGUCCCUGGCACCCUCAGGGGGCCUGAAUCUGACAAGGGUCAGGAUACUUCUCUAAUAAAGAGAAAAGAGAAAGCUCUGCUACUGCUAUGGUACGCGCAGAGCAGGCAACAUGACUCUUUCUCUGAGAGCUGGGUGCUGCUCCUCACUGUCCAGGGGUGCUUAUGGUUCCCAGGUCCCAGUCGUGGGAGUGGAAACAAGUCUGAGUCUUCCACCCACUUCCUGCAGCCCAUGAGAGAUGGGCAAUGUUCUUUUUCCUCCCAGCCCACCAUGAGGCCUCCAGACCUCCUGCCCUGGACCAAGGCCUCCCCUUCCGUCCACCUCCUCACUUCUCUGUCAUGGUGCUGAACAUUCUCUCGAUAAACUGCAUCUGCAAGGCAGUCUCGCUCAUUUGGGCCUCAGCGUCUGGAUGGAGAGAGAGAGGCAUGGCCUUUGAGAAGCGCCAUCUGGAAGUUAUCUACCAGGACAGCAAUCACCAGGCUGUAGAGGGGACAGUGGGGAGCUCUUAAAGGGGACACCAGAGAAGAGGCCACAUACUGUCCUCUGAGUCCAGUGUGACCGAUGACCAGGGUAUCAGCAGCCCGCAGAUGGCAAAUGGUACUGAGCCAUUAGCACCUACCCACCAUGCCCUGGACCCUGCCCUCUGCCCACCCUGGGCCCUGCUGUCCAUGUAGAUGAGGGACCAGUCAUCCAAGCUCAGUGAAGGUCUGGGCCACAAGGACAAUUGUGUUGAGGCAGACCACGAUGAAGAUGAAGGUCUCAAAGCCCAGGGACUGAGUCAGUGACAUCAUCAUUUGCCGGAAAC